UGGGCGUUAAGUUGCAGGGUAUAGACCCGAAACCCGGUGAUCUAGCCAUGGGCAGGUUGAAGGUUGGGUAACACUAACUGGAGGACCGAACCGACUAAUGUUGAAAAAUUAGCGGAUGACCUGUGGCUGGGGGUGAAAGGCCAAUCAAACCGGGAGAUAGCUGGUUCUCCCCGAAAGCUAUUUAGGUAGCGCCUCGUGAAUUCAUCUCCGGGGGUAGAGCACUGUUUCGGCUAGGGGGCCAUCCCGGCUUACCAACCCGAUGCAAACUGCGAAUACCGGAGAAUGUUAUCACGGGAGACACACGGCGGGUGCUAACGUCCGUCGUGAAGAGGGAAACAACCCAGACCGCCAGCUAAGGUCCCAAAGUCAUGGUUAAGUGGGAAACGAUGUGGGAAGGCCCAGACAGCCAGGAUGUUGGCUUAGAAGCAGCCAUCAUUUAAAGAAAGCGUAAUAGCUCACUGGUCGAGUCGGCCUGCGCGGAAGAUGUAACGGGGCUAAACCAUGCACCGAAGCUGCGGCAGCGACACUGUGUGUUGUUGGGUAGGGGAGCGUUCUGUAAGCCUGUGAAGGUGUGUCGUGAGGCAUGCUGGAGGUAUCAGAAGUGCGAAUGCUGACAUAAGUAACGAUAAAGCGGGUGAAAAGCCCGCUCGCCGGAAGACCAAGGGUUCCUGUCCAACGUUAAUCGGGGCAGGGUGAGUCGACCCCUAAGGCGAGGCCGAAAGGCGUAGUCGAUGGGAAACGGGUUAAUAUUCCCGUACUUGGUGUUACUGCGAAGGGGGGACGGAGAAGGCUAUGUUGGCCGGGCGACGGUUGUCCCGGUUUAAGCGUGUAGGUGUGUGUUCCAGGUAAAUCCGGUUCACUUUAACACUGAGGCGUGACGACGAGGCACUACGGUGCUGAAGCAACAAAUGCCCUGCUUCCAGGAAAAGCCUCUAAGCAUCAGGUAACAUCAAAUCGUACCCCAAACCGACACAGGUGGUCAGGUAGAGAAUACCAAGGCGCUUGAGAGAACUCGGGUGAAGGAACUAGGCAAAAUGGUGCCGUAACUUCGGGAGAAGGCACGCUGACACGUAGGUGAAGUGAUUUACUCAUGGAGCUGAAGUCAGUCGAAGAUACCAGCUGGCUGCAACUGUUUAUUAAAAACACAGCACUGUGCAAACACGAAAGUGGACGUAUACGGUGUGACGCCUGCCCGGUGCCGGAAGGUUAAUUGAUGGGGUCAGCGCAAGCGAAGCUCCUGAUCGAAGCCCCGGUAAACGGCGGCCGUAACUAUAACGGUCCUAAGGUAGCGAAAUUCCUUGUCGGGUAAGUUCCGACCUGCACGAAUGGCGUAAUGAUGGCCAGGCUGUCUCCACCCGAGACUCAGUGAAAUUGAACUCGCUGUGAAGAUGCAGUGUACCCGCGGCAAGACGGAAAGACCCCGUGAACCUUUACUAUAGCUUGACACUGAACAUUGAGCCUUGAUGUGUAGGAUAGGUGGGAGGCUUUGAAGUGUGGACGCCAGUCUGCAUGGAGCCGACCUUGAAAUACCACCCUUUAAUGUUUGAUGUUCUAACGUGGACCCGUUACCCGGGUUGCGGACAGUGUCUGGUGGGUAGUUUGACUGGGGCGGUCUCCUCCUAAAGAGUAACGGAGGAGCACGAAGGUUGGCUAAUCCUGGUCGGACAUCAGGAGGUUAGUGCAAUGGCAUAAGCCAGCUUGACUGCGAGCGUGACGGCGCGAGCAGGUGCGAAAGCAGGUCAUAGUGAUCCGGUGGUUCUGAAUGGAAGGGCCAUCGCUCAACGGAUAAAAGGUACUCCGGGGAUAACAGGCUGAUACCGCCCAAGAGUUCAUAUCGACGGCGGUGUUUGGCACCUCGAUGUCGGCUCAUCACAUCCUGGGGCUGAAGUAGGUCCCAAGGGUAUGGCUGUUCGCCAUUUAAAGUGGUACGCGAGCUGGGUUUAGAACGUCGUGAGACAGUUCGGUCCCUAUCUGCCGUGGGCGCUGGAGAACUGAGGGGGGCUGCUCCUAGUACGAGAGGACCGGAGUGGACGCAUCACUGGUGUUCGGGUUGUCAUGCCAAUGGCACUGCCCGGUAGCUAAAUGCGGAAGAGAUAAGUGCUGAAAGCAUCUAAGCACGAAACUUGCCCCGAG
rnacentral:rRNA from 3 species